UACGUAGGGGGCAAGCGUUGUCCGGAAUUACUGGGCGUAAAGCGCGUGUAGGCGGGACGGCAAGUCGGACGUGAAAGGCUCGGGCUCAACCCGAGAUGGCCGUUCGAAACUGCCGUUCUUGAGGGUCGAAGAGGAGAGUGGAAUUCCUGGUGUAGCGGUGGAGUGCGCAGAUAUCAGGAAGAACACCAACGGCGAAGGCAGCUCGCUAGGACGGUACUGACGCUGAGACGCGAAAGCGUGGGGAGCGAACAGG
rnacentral:rRNA from 1 species